UACGGGGGGAGCAAGCGUUGUUCGGAUUUACUGGGCGUAAAGGGCGCGUAGGCGGCCACUGCAAGUCAGUUGUGAAAUCUCCGGGCUUAACCCGGAAAGGUCAACUGAUACUGCAGGGCUAGAGUGCAGAAGGGGCAACUGGAAUUCUCGGUGUAGCGGUGAAAUGCGUAGAUAUCGAGAGGAACACCAGAGGCGAAGGCGGCGACCUGGACAGUUACUGACACUCAACUACGAAAGCGUGGGGAGCAAACAGG
rnacentral:rRNA from 1 species